rfam:Oryza glaberrima chromosome 4 Oglab04_0324_31, whole genome shotgun sequence.
AAAAAGACAAACCCUAUGUUUCCGUGUCCAAUGUUUAACUGUCGUCUUAUAUGAAACUUUUUUAUAAUUAGUAUUUUCAUUGUUGUUAGAUGAUAAAACAUGAUUAAUACUUUAUGCAUGACUUGUCUUUUUAAUUUUUUUUCAUAUUUUUUUAAAUAAGACGGACGGUCAAAUGUUGGACACGGAAACCUAGAGAUUUUCCUUUU